rnacentral:rRNA from 1 species
GACGUCCUACGGGACGCAGCAGUGAGGAAUAUUGGUCAAUGGCCGGAAGGCUGAACCAGCCAAGUCGCGUGAAGGAUGACGGCCCUACGGGUUGUAAACUUCUUUUGUCAGGGAGCAAUUGAGUCCACGUGUGGUCUUAGCGAGAGUACCUGAAGAAAAAGCAUCGGCUAACUCCGUGCCAGCAGCCGCGGUAAUACGGAGGAUGCGAGCGUUAUCCGGAUUUAUUGGGUUUAAAGGGUGCGUAGGCGGAAUAUCAAGUCAGCGGUAAAAAUUCGGGGCUCAACCCCGUCGUGCCGUUGAAACUG